ACAGGGAUUGCCCUAGUAACGGCGAGUGAAGCGGCAAGAGCUCAAAUUUGAAAUCUGGCCCUUUUAGGGUCCGAGUUGUAAUUUGUAGAGGGCGCUUUGGCGUCGGCCCCGGCCUAAGUUCCUUGGAACAGGACGUCACAGAGGGUGAGAACCCCGUACGUGGCCGCCGGCCUUCGCCGUGUAAAGCCCCUUCGACGAGUCGAGUUGUUUGGGAAUGCAGCUCUAAAUGGGAGGUAAAUUUCUUCUAAAGCUAAAUAUUGGCCAGAGACCGAUAGCGCACAAGUAGAGUGAUCGAAAGAUGAAAAGCACUUUGGAAAGAGAGUCAAAAAGCACGUGAAAUUGUUGAAAGGGAAGCGCUUGCAGCCAGACUUGCCUGUAGUUGCUCAUCCGAGCUCCCGCUCGGUGCACUCUUCUGCGGGCAGGCCAGCAUCAGUCCGGGCGGUCGGAUAAAGGCUUCGGGAAUGUAGCUCCCCUCGGGGAGUGUUAUAGCCCGGGGUGCCAUGCGACCAGCCUGGACUGAGGUCCGCGCAUCUGCUAGGAUGCUGGCGUAAUGGCUGUAAGCGGCCCGUCUG
rnacentral:rRNA from 1 species